AUGGCGGAUGCAAGGAACAAGUUCAUGCAACCGGAUGAAGAUACACCUUUUGGACGACACUUGAAGGAAAUCACUAAGUACCUGAACAUCGGAAUACCAAGCUUCACCGGGACUUACAAAGCUACACUACCAGAAGAGGAGCGCUGGAAGAUUCAAGUUCAAGUUCCAGGAAGGACGUUUACGCCAGUCACUGAGCCUAUAGAGCUUUCCUUUGAUGCACCAACCUGGAGUUUAGGGAAGAGCAUGGCAGCCUACAUCUCUAUGGGACGCAUUGGAGAAGUCUACCACAAGGAGCUUAAGGAUACUAUUUAUCAGAUUUGUGUACGCCGAGAUGAGCAAUGGGAGAUGAUCAGCACCAAGAAGGAUGGAUCAAUUGCAGCUUUCAUCCAGGAGCAAAACCAACACAUUCGUCGCCAGGAGAACCAGAUGUGCGCAGACAUGAUAGAUCUGAGGAAGGCAUUGACCAAGAUCACGGAGUUGGAGGAAGAACUCAUGGCUACGCGCAAGGAUUAUAUGGAGGAAAUCGUUGCACUAGUGAGGAAGAACGACGACCUGACACAGAAGAUUGGAGUAUUCAUGGGAGACCCAGCACCCGGAGGAGAAGAUGACGAUUCUACUUGCCCGGAUAACUACAUCAUCAUCGACGACACCGACUCGGACCCCAGUGAAGAAGAUUUUGUUGAUGAAGCUGGAGCAGAUAUCAUGGAGUCUUCGACCGAUCAAAAUUUCUAG
rnacentral:rRNA from 1 species